rnacentral:rRNA from 1 species
CAAGUCGAACGGAAAGGCCUCUUCGGAGGUACUCGAGUGGCGAACGGGUGAGUAACACGUGGGCAAUNUGCCCUGCACUUCGGGAUAAGCCUGGGAAACUGGGUCUAAUACCGGAUAGGACCUUAAGACGCAUGUCUUUUGGUGGAAAGCUUUUGCGGUGUGGGAUGGGCCCGCGGCCUAUCAGCUUGUUGGUGGGGUGACGGCCUACCAAGGCGACGACGGGUAGCCGGCCUGAGAGGGUGUCCGGCCACACUGGGACUGAGAUACGGCCCAGACUCCUACGGGAGGCAGCAGUGGGGAAUAUUGCACAAUGGGCGCAAGCCUGAUGCAGCGACGCCGCGUGGGGGAUGACGGCCUUCGGGUUGUAAACCUCUUUCACCAUCGACGAAGGUCCGGGUUUCCCGG